rnacentral:tRNA from 1 species
UAUUAAAUAUCUUAAUUUUUAAAGUAUUGAUCUUUUAAAUCAAUUAUAGUAAAUAACUUACUUUUAAUAA